GUAGAAGUCUCAGCUACCUCUCCUGCAUUGUGUCUUCCUUGCAUGCCGCUAGGCUCCUGCUGUGACAGAAUGGACUGAACCGCUGAACUGUGAACCAGCCUCAGAGCUGGAGUCCUAUGGCUUCCCUAGAGAUGGUAUCGGCCUGGCUUCUAGAUUACAGGGGAUGGCCAGGGAAGGUGUCAUGGCUCGUGGCUUCCAAAGACAGCUGCACCAACAGCCUCGAUUCUGCCAGCGGACAAGAUAAAAACGCCCUCCUUUAAUAAUUAACGAGUAGGCACCGGCGCCCCUGGCGUGGGCCCCCAGGAGGCCUCUCGCGGUGGCUUUGCCUCCUGGAAGCCGGGGCGCGUGUGCACAGCCACGUGCGUCAGCCCGGUCUGGGGCGCAGCACUGAGUCACAGCGGCUGACCCAGCAAAGUGCUGAGAGUGUGACCGGAAUGAAGGGUUGCUCCGUCUGUCUCCGAGGUGGCGUGGCAGAUCAAAUCACAGCGGAUCAGGCGCCGAGAUGUUGCCUUGCUCUGAGUGACAGAAGUUAAUAAUUAGUGACAAUGAUUGGCAGAUACACUCCAUCUGCUGCUCCGACGCCUAGGAGCAGUUAUUCCACAACUGUCUGCGGGCACAAUGAACUCCCCCGGGAGCGCGGGCUGGCCUGUGAUUGACAGCUGCCUCCAAGAGAG